UACGUAGGGUCCGAGCGUUGUCCGGAAUUAUUGGGCGUAAAGAGCUCGUAGGCGGUCUGUCGCGUCGGCUGUGAAAACUCGGGGCUCAACCCCGAGCCUGCAGUCGAUACGGGCAGACUAGAGUUCGGUAGGGGAGACUGGAAUUCCUGGUGUAGCGGUGAAAUGCGCAGAUAUCAGGAGGAACACCGGUGGCGAAGGCGGGUCUCUGGGCCGAAACUGACGCUGAGGAGCGAAAGCGUGGGGAGCGAACAGG
rnacentral:rRNA from 1 species